GCCUUCGCGGUGUAGUGGUCAGCACGCUCGGCGGGUAUUCGAGAGGUCCGUAGUUCGAAUCCCGGCAAGGGCA
rnacentral:tRNA from 1 species